rnacentral:rRNA from 1 species
GUUAACGGCCAUAGGAGUGGGGAAACACCCGAUCCCAUUCCGAACUCGGAAGUUAAACCCACUCACGGUCGGAGGUACUAGCUUCGGCUGGGAAUGCCGACUGUCGUUAACC